UUGUACAUGCAUGCAACUUCAUAAUGUAUGGUCACUUAGUAUAUAAGGAGAUUAUUUAAGGGCACUUACACUACCGUAUAUAUUGUCUAGUACAUCACUCAAGACAACCUGAUCAAAGAAUCAAUCAAUCUUACUCCAACUGUCAAGCCCAAGUCAAAACAGGAAUGAAGACUGCAUUCUUUCUCCUCCUAGCCUGUGUUGUGGUGGCCUACAGUCAAUUUCCUGAACCUACAGUGGAGCAAGCACGGUGCUUGGUAGAUGGAACAAGAAACAACUCUACCUUACAACAAUGUCAAACAAUGAUUUUAUCUAUGAUGGGUGACCGGGAAAUUUGUAGCCUCUCGUGCAUCGGCGAUUAUUCGAUGUUGAUCGAUGACUGUCAAAUCACACCAAACCCAGUGACAGCUACUUGCAGUGAUGCUGCAUCUACAGUUGCUGUCCCAAUGAUGGUGAUUAUUGGAAUAGUCGUGGCUACGGCCUCACUGUUUUAAGCACCAAGGAGACUAUAACUAUACUUAGAUUAAGAUUCUGAGUAAGCUAGUGCAUGUUAUGGCAACUUUAUGUACAAUGUCAAGUAUAAUACAUUAGGAUGAAUUAUUGGUUAUUAAUGUUGCGAUUUGAAUAAUGAAUGCCAAA